UGAAAGAUGGUGAGCUGCUUUCGCCUGCAGCAGGCAAGGGUUUACAAGACUGGGCCGCUGCUCUCUGCCUGGCCCCGGGAAGGGUGUGAUGAACACAAUCUGAAAUCAAUCGAUGGCAGGGAACAGUUACUGCAUCUCAAUAUUGUUUGCGGAGAUGGCCUGCUGGAAGGAGAGUGGGAGAGAGAGAUGUCGAUAGCUUUAACGAAGCACUCCACAGCCACGCACAAAGGGAGGUCAAAUAACUAUCAGCCGACCAAUCCCAAUUGUAAGUAGUCAAAUGAUAAAAUCAAUAUUAUUAAAUAAAAAGUUAGCACUGCUAUUGAACUCUCUCAUGAUCUCGGCAGCGCCUGGCUGCAAACGAAGGAGGCUGUUUUCCAAUCUCUUUGGUGGUAAGCAACGAGGCUCAUGAACAUUUGCACCCAGGAAUUUUUCACACAUAUACUGGGCCACAGGAACCACUAAAUAAUACCUGGCUAGGAACCAGUGACCCCUGCUAGCCCUGGUUUCACAUCUGUUCUGAUGCCACCAAAGGCUGCAUCUUUUCAGCGCGACUUUGCCACUGUGUCCUGGGUGGCAGAGGUUAGACUAAUUCCAGGCUUUCAAGGAACAAAGAAAGGCCCUGCUUGGUGUCCUUGCCGAUCUCGAGAUUUAGAAAUUUAUCAGGAAAAACAAAAUCGUGGGAGAGAGGGUAAAAGAGAGAAACAAGGGCAUUUCAUAGAGGACUGACCUAUCCUCCGUAGUGCAGAGGACUCAGGGGCUGCGGCUCAAAGCCAAGGCUGUGCUCUUCCCUGCUGGGGCCAAUCCUGAGGCUCAAAGUAACACGCAGCCAGGUACUAAGAAAGAAACAUUUAGAAAAAAAGAUGGCCAGUCAAAAAUGCCUAGGAAAGCAGCAAGCUCUAGCCCUGCCUGUAAGAAGAGAAAAUAAAAUAAAAAAGGACAAAACAAAACAAAACAAAACGGAGGAAUGCGUAGGCGUGAGUGACAGCCCGUGGGCAAGGCAGCAUGUGCUGCUCUGACCUGCAUUUAAACACACAGCUGCUUAGCCUUUUGAACACCCAAAGUUGGCUCCCUGUUUACAUUUCAUAGAAACUACUUUAGAGAGUAAACAAGAACCUUUGGUGAAUUAUUUAGCAUACAAAUAAGCCAGCAAAGAAGGCUAAGUAGCCUCUAUGAACUAACUGGAUUGAAAUAUUCAUCUGUAAAUAACCCUCCAAUCUGCUGCUUUCACGUACAAAUACUACAUGGAACAUUAGACACAACUAGCUUCUAGGGAUAUUUAGGCUCACCAGAGAGCAGUUUUUAUGUCUACUGGCAUCUGUGGGUAGUGAUAUGGACUGACUGUUAAUAUAACCAACAUAAAAUUUAUGUGAGCACUCACUGGGAUAGCAGCACACUGUCAGACAGCUGGUGGCUGAUGCGGAGCACAUGCGGAUUUUAUAUGCACUGCGUAAACUAACCUUUGCAAUAAAGACUUAGCAGGUUUAUUAGUUUAGGAAAUCGCUAUAAUUAAGGAUAAUUCAUAAUGGCCGCUUAUCCACUCUCCAGCAAUAGCUCGCUUAAUUUAGGCUCCAUUUCUUUGAGCCAUAAAUAAGUGAGCUGCUAUCUUCUGCACAGAUGUGGCAUUCAACCUGUUCAUGUUGGCUGCUUUUGCUUGUGUUUUAAUCAAAAGCAUUAGUAGGUAAGACUAUAAAAAGCACAAGGUUUGAAAUAAAAUUAGCAAGGACUACAUUGGCAAAGUUUAUUUUUAUCUACUAGCUUUCCCCCUCAAAACUAACCCCAACGUCAAAAAUCUAACCUCCCCUUCCAGAAGUGAAAGACAAUUACAAACAAAUAAUCCUUUAAAAUGUACUACAGGAGCUUUCAUUUAAAAACCCAAGGAGAGAGAAAGUGACGGAGCAAUAACAUUAAUGAAGGCCAAAGAAAUAUGAGCGUGACCUCUCUACAGUAUUUCCAUUUAACUGCGCAUGUAAUUAAAGCCUGACCUUUGCGAGUGCGGCGCACUGGGCUGUGCAGCAACUUCCCCUGUGAUCCAAGCUCUGCUGCAGGGAGAGGGGGAAGUCUCUGCCUUCAGUGCUUGCUGGGAGGCAUGCUCAUGCACUUGCUCCCUGUUCCACUGAUGGGGAUACUUUGUGCUGGCUCUUAGCUACACCUGAUGCUCUUCCUCCACCCAUCCUCUGACUCUUCCUGCCAGCCGGUACACUCUGCAGGGCAUGAGUCAGCACAAGGCAGCCAAUGCCAGAACCCAGGUCCAGAAUCUCAUCACCAUCUACAUUGACUAGCUGCGAGAGUGCACUAGCACUAGGUGCAGAGCAACGCCCUCCUUGGCCGGGUCUGAGCAGUCUGCAAAGGGAAGCUUAGCCGCCGCACAUCUCCCCCAGGGAACUGCAGCGUGAUUGACAUGGGAAUUUGGAGUCAUAUUAGGAGCGAAGCUAUAUGGAGACUUAAGAUGCGCUUUGUUCUCAAGAUUUCCACGAUGGUGGAGUUAAUCCUAGUGUAAUGGAAAGGGUGUGGUCUAAGAGUCAGAAGAUCUGGGAUGCAGUCUCAGCUGUGUCACUCAUCAGCUGCUGUGUCUCCCCAACAGACACUUAGCCUCUCUGAAUUUCAGGGUUCCAAUGUGCAAAUGGAGACAUUAUUACCUGGCCAUCUACGCUGGCUGGGGACUGCCGUUAAAGAUCCAGAGAAAUAAUGCUGACAGAUAUUUUCUGGGACAGUACAAAUUCUACGGUGAGUUCCAACCCAAGCACUCACUACAGGUGACACUCCAGGCCCUAGCUUCCCCCUGGGAAAGUGGGGCUGCCCUGCCCAUCUCACUGUGCUGUGAGGAUCAAGAGGAAUGCUGUGCAUAAGCAGCCAGCCAACUCACAAGGGCUUUACCCUCUAACUGGCCUCCUGGCAGCUUCCAAAAGUCCUCGAAGUCAUUCAGACCAGAGGGCAAGGACUUGGAGCAUAGAAGUAAUCUCAAGUGUACACAGGAAAUAUAGAAACUACUUUUGAGCAGCUGUGUCCAAAAUACCCAAGAGAAGCAAAGAAGAGAGGGUCCACACUGGCUCAUAGUUUCAGAAUGUCUGGUGCAAGGCUGCUUGGCACCCUGAGCUUGUGAAAAUAUCACUGUGGUUGUGAUGUGUAGAGGUGGUGGCUCUUCACCUCAUGGUCAACAGGAAGCACAGGGCACAGAAAAGGUACUGGGCAUCAAGUACAAUGUCCAAAGGCCAGUCCCCAGUGACCUACUUCCUCUGCCUAGAUCCCACAUAAUAGUUUCCAGAACCUGCCAAACACAGCUCCACAAAACCAGACACUAAGCAUUCAACACAGGAGUCUAUGGGAGUGGGGGACACUUCAUGCUCACAUCAGAACAGGUACAAUGCUGUGACCCCCAAGAAAGGGCAAAACAUCAUUUUGAAAAUGUCUAUCUUUCUCUGAAACAAUUUUCCUAUUCUUGGAAAGGCACUAAAUAUAGUGCAGUUUCCUCCACGAGUAGAUUCACCUGGAGAGGAUUAAAGAGCCAGCCCCAAGGUCAGUUAAACUGUCUACAAGAAAUGCCUCCUUCAAAGCAUUCUCACUGAGACGUUGAGACUGGGGCUAAGAAGGAAGAACCUGGCAACCCUUAACACUCCGUUGACACAUACUGGUCCUCAGUGUUCACUACCAAGUGGGCAGGUGCACAAAAGAGCAGCAGCCAGAGGAGAUGGGGAGUGCCUGGGGCUGGUGCCAGCACAGCCUGGCAGCCCUGUCGGUAUCCUUGCCUUGGUGACUCACAAUGAUCAAGGAGAACAGGCAAGAGGGGCAAAAACCCCUGGGACAGGCCUUUUGAAUCUGAGGAAAUGCACAGCCAAGGAAUGGCUUCUUACUCCCAUUUCCUCACAGCAGCCCAAGAAGCAAUGCGACCUUAGCUCCUGAGUUAAUAAAAACACACCUGAUGGUCACCUGACAGCCUUACCUAUCGCCCCUGGUGGCAAGUGGCUGACCCUCUUUUUAAUUCAUGUUGAGGCUUAUUUAAUCAGCUGGGCACCCGGAGAUUUAUAACCCAUUUUGAAAGUGUUCUUGGCAAAAUAAAACUCUAAUGCUGAGGCCUGUAAAAUGCUCCCAGUAUAUGGGAGCAAGUGAGGUCAGGGAAUGGUGGAGCCCUUCCCAGCCCCACACUCACACUGAAAGUAUUAGCCCAAAAUGAGGAACAUAUUUAUCAGGAAAAUCUUUUAUUCUUUUAGAAUAGAGUUUCCUUCAGGAGUCAAAGUUCAUGGGAACAUUUACCAUUCUGGUGCACAAAUUGACAUUGUUAAUAAGGCUUCUUGAAAUUCAGACUUUAAAUCACAGCUAGAAUGAUAGGGUCAAAACAAGUCACACCAAGAACUCAGGGUCAAACAAAUAAUGCUUUCAUUGCAGCAGAAUCACUUUAAAAUAUUCUCAGCCUCCAAAAGAAAAAAAAAACCACCAAACAAUAAACCAAAAAGAAAGAGGCUGGGGGUUUCUAAAGAAAUACCUGGCUCACAGCUCGUUAGACACAUCAGGAAGACGCAGCAUUGGGGACCCAGCACAGAGGUGACAGGAACAGCAAGGGCAGCUCCAUGUCACCUUCCAGGAGAGACUGUGCUCCCGUCGGGCAAGCAGCCUGUGUUCAGGCUCCAAGCUAAGCUAGGCACAUAGGCCCAAAGUUAAGGGCAUUUCCAUGAUAAGGGCAGGUGGCAGAUGUGAGGGUGAAGUGGGAGGGGGAGGAGGGGACUCACCUGGUAAAAGGCAAGCUCAUUACUGUAUUUUCCCCCCAAAUAAGACCUUAGCAGGGCCUGGUAGCAUAGACCCAUAACUCCAGCCACUCAGGAAGAUCCCAAGUAUAAGACCAGGCUGCACAACUUAUCAAAACCCCGGUCUGGGAAUCUAGCUUAGUGGUAGAAUGCUGGGCAUAGCAUGUGUGAGGCCCAAAAAUAAAACAGAAAAUCAAACAUUACCUUAAAAGCAGUCAGAACAAGGACUUGACAGGUCUUGGGACUCUACCCCACCAUGUUCCUGAUGGCUGCUGUAGAGCUGAUGCUGGACUCAUCCUCUGUCCAUUUUCACAUCCUUCCCACCUGAUGCAAGACCCAGGCCCGACCUACUUGAAGCUUUUGGAUUCAAACACAAUUAUGCUUGCUCUGGAGUCAAAAUACUUUUUCUAAUGAGAGGGGAGCAAAAACUCUAAGGAGCUGUUCUAGUCCCUGGUCCUGUGUGUGAACCCCUGUGGAGAACUGAGUGAGGCUUUACUCUUACCCCGAGCUUUACUUUUUACUUCAGAUCUGGUUCACAGCUCUCCAGUAAGAUCCUAGUACACUGCCAGAUAGUCAUGACUCCAUAAUAGCUAAAAUAAAGAUGGUAUAUUCUGCCUAACACCAGCGACUCCAAAACUGUAAAAAGUGCUUUUUAUCUGUGCAGCCUGAGUGGGAAAUAGGAGGUCCAGCACUGAUUCCCUCUGAAUUUCUCUCGUUGAAGCAAAGCAGAGUCCCAAUCGGUACGGCCAACCUUCCCAGCAGGAAGACAGACUGGAGGCUCCCUGCUUCUGCCUGCCCUUUACCUGCCACUGCCAAUGCCAGCAACUUGGCAGUAAUACUGUUUGUCAUCAUAACCCAGCUCAUUUGAUUUGCAGAUGGGGACCCCUAUUGGUGUGAGAAAAAUCCCAGGGAAAACGGAAACCAGGCAGCACUUCUUAACCAAUAUACAGAACGUACCAAUAAACAGAGCAGCACCCACAGUUGCACGGCGAGGAACAGAGACACGACACAGCCUUGAAAUGCUCUCCUCUCUCCACAUCAACAAAGCCACCCCCAGGCUCUGGAGCUAAACUCUUCAAACAGCCCAGGGGCGUGUGUGUGUGCGUGUGAGUGUGUGUGUGUGUGUGUGUGUGUGUGUGUGUGUGUGUGUGUGUGUGUGUGUGAGAGAGAGAGAGAGAGAGAGAGAGAGAGAGAGAGAGAGAGAGAGAGAGAGAGAGAGAGCGCGAGCGAGCACGCCCACUUCACUGGAGCUGCCCGUGUUACCAGGGUGGCAGUCCAUCUCCGUGCUGACAGAUCUCCAUGUUGGGCAGGAUUUCCAAUCCUUCAUGACUAUCUAUUUGUCACUGCAGGCACCCUGCGGAGGACGCUGCCACAAUGGAGUGCUUUCCUACUGUGGCCUGUAGCAGAGGGGAAAAGGACCUGUCCUUUUUCUACGUCCCAGGAGGCCAUGGGAGCCCACUCAUCUUCGCUGUAUUACUGAUUCUGUCUGGUGCCUGGUUCUGUGUCUGGGCUCUACUCCUCUGAGGAUGGAGAAUGCGGGGCCAGAAAAGCUGCCUUUUACAGCCCAUCUUCAGGCUCUUAGCCACACACAUGGUUCAUGGGCAGGGAAGCCUCCGUUUAUAGGGAGCCAGGCCCUGAAAAUGGGUCCAGUAAAGGAUCAGCACCAAAAGUCACUAAGGAAGUGGGUUUUUAGCAUUGUGAUCUGAUGACCAUUCAUGGAUUAAGGCUUGUUGCCUGGUGUCUCUAUCUGCAUGGUAUUCCUUAGAUAUAUUCUAUAGAUGGAUGUAGCUUCCACCAGAGUGGGCCAGGCUUGGUAGGAGGUUGGGUUAGGGAGAUGAAGAAUUAAAAGUCAUCAUUAGCUAUGCAGCAGGUUUGAGGCUAGCCUGAGCUACAUGAGACCCUGCCUUAAAACAAAACAACAACAAAGCCAAGAUAAUCCUAUUUAUUUCCUUUUAUUAUUUUAGUAAUAAAUUGAUCAAUCUA